ACCCGCCUUGGCCUCCCAAAGUGCUGGUAUUACAGGCAUGAACCACCACGCCUGGCCGCAAACAUACAUUUUUAUAGCUCCUGAACUAAAUUGGGUAUCAAUACAAAUUACUGUGGUUAGUGUAGGGCUCGGCCUCUGAUGAGUGAGGAUCUUUCCUCAAAGCCCACCUUUGUCCAAAGAAAGAAUCUGAGCCUCCCCUUGACUUAUUUUAUUUUUUGCCAGUUUUGUAAAUGCUGUAUGCUUCCAUACUACCCCCUUCCCUAAUUUCCACCUCUAGAAUUAACUGCCAGAGAUACAGUUGUCCACAUGGAAUGUAGUAUAAUUGUGAUAGAAAGGAAGAAAUCCCCCUUGCUUAGUAUUAAAAGUUUCUGGUUAAAAUAACUGACUAAAUAUUAAGUAAAACAUCACCUUCUGGGUACAAUGCAGAAAAGUAAAAGCAGUUCAUAUAAGAUUACUAAACUUUGGGAGGUCUUCAAGACCAGCCCUGGCAACAUAGCGAGACCCCAUGUCUGCAAAAAAAGUUUUAAAAAUUAGCCGGGCAUGGUGGCGUGCACUUGUAGUCCCAGCUACUCAGGAGGCUGAGGCAGGAGGAUCGCUUGAGCCCAGGAGUCUGAGGUUGCAGUGAGCCGUGGUGACACCACUGCACUCCCGCCUGGGUGACAGAGUGAGAUCCAAAAAAAUUUACUGAAAUAACAAAAACGUGGACUUUGGGAUUUCCUCUAACUGCUGCAAAUUAUAACACAGAAUUGCUCAGUGUUAAUACUUGAAUUGUGGGGCCAAGUCUUCUGGCUGCCCUAGUUCUCUUUUCUGGCAUUUGAAAGCCCUUGAGCUAGCUAUGGAGCUAAUCUUUGGACAGGCUUUUUGGUUCCCAGGAAUGUCAUGCCUUUGAAUUUCCAAUCUAUAUAUAUACAGUGUGUGUGUAUGUAUACCUGUCUUUUCACUGUAAGGCACCUCCACCCAUCCCUUAUAGAAGGAGCCACAAACAAUCAAGCAAAUGGAUGGAGGUUAAUUAAGGGGAAGAGGAAAUAGUCUGUUCUCUGACUCGAGACCUGAAAUUGCAGUGGGGCACGUAAGAGAAAGUGAAGCAACAAAUGAGGAACAUGAGAACACUGGAGUAGAAAGCUGGGUGGGCAUCAGACAGCUGACCAAAAUUUUCACUAUCAAAAUGGCAGAAGUUACCUUUGGGAAUUGCCUUCGGAGUGUUUAUGAGCUGCAAAAGAACAUCAAUUAGUCUUAUUACUUUACAGUUUUCUCUGUCUAUGUAGGGUAAAAACAUUAUAUAUCCAUAUAAAAUAUAUAUCAUUAAAACUUAGCCUGUUGGACAUUUCUUUUUUUAUUUUUAAUUGUAACUUUUGUGGGUACAUGGUGUACAUAUUCAUGGAAUGCAUGAGAUGUUUUGAUACAGGUGUGCAAUGUGUGAUAAUCACAACAUGGAGAAUGGGGUAUCUAUCCCCUCAAGCAUUUAUACUUUGUAUUAUAAACAAUCCAAUUAUACUCUUUUAGUUAUUUUUUAAUGUACGAUUCAAUUAUGAUUGACUAUAGUCACCCUGUUGUGCUAUCAAAUACUAGGUCUUAUUCAGUCUUUCUAAAUUUUUGGUACCCAUUAACCAUUCCCACCCCUCUGCCCUUCCACCACUCUUUCCAGCCAGUUGGACAUUUCUUUUAUAAACUGAAGUAUGUGGCGAAUGACUUUUAACCAUUUCCGAAAAUCAAACACGAUGUAAAAAUAUUACACUUGUGGACUCAGAAUACCAAAAAUAUGUGUUUCCAGCCCUGAUGGCAAUCUUCAAAGAGGGAUUGCAGCAUACCUGGAGUAGCCACAGCACCGUUGUCAGCACUGAGCCCACACAAGUGACUGUUGACACAGGGACCGUAUUCUGUGUAUAUCUAUGUUCUGAGAAUAUUUUGUUGUUGUGGUGGUGGUUGGAAAAGCUUUUAUAUGACAGUUUAUGGCUCACAGUGGUGUCUGGCUGGUGGCCUUCAAUGCAAUGACUCAUAAGAACCUCUCCUUCAGUCACCCUUGAAGACCCAACAAAGCUGGGGAAAGGAGGGGAAUUUCCCGAUACCAUUGACAAUGAAGAUGGACAAGCUAACGGCAGAACCUCAGAAGGAUCUGACUUCAGAUAUGCACGCAGCGUACCCUGGCUUCAUUUCACAAAAACAGUACCCUUUUGCAAAGGGAGGAAGUGACUUUCUCAUGACCCGAACCAGAAAAUAGGCAGCCACGGGACUCUAUGCACUGAUUCCACCUUGGGGAGCAGGCAGAACAUGUCCCCUUUGUGACCACGUUCACUGGCAUCUUUCUGGAUCCAGAUAGAGUGCAAAACUUAGAAACAGCUGAGUGGUACGCAGAGGGGGUACAGGUACAGAUCAUACCGUGCAGGCAGGUAUGACCCUACAAUAAACUGCCCAAGAUAUGUGUUGUAUAUGUGUUGUGUGUAUUUGAGUUGAGUGCAUUGGGUGCAUGUUUGUAUAUACAUGUGUGUGCGUAUGUGUGUGUGUGGUGUGUAUGUGGUGUGUGUGUGAGAGCUGAGUGCAUUGUGUCUAUGUUUGUGUGUACAUUUGUGUGUGUUGUGUGUGGGGGGUGUGUGUGUGAAGGGCACUGGCCCUUACUCCUGGUAAGAGUGAGUAAUAGCAACUGCCAUUGGUUAUACCUCCUUCCUUCAACUUCAGAGUAUGGGAGAGUAGUUCAGUAGAGACAGGAGAAAACGUUUCCUCAGCUGAAGACCUAUACUUUUUUAUUUGGGAAGGGGGUGAUUUAUUCUAAAUAACUACACAACUCUUUUUAUAUUAGGGAAGCCACAAGCUGCUUGUUAUCUAUAUUGCACAUAUUUCUCCAUAUUUGCUCUUUGUCUUGCAACUUUAUUUAUAAGACUUUUGCUUGUUUUUGCCAUGGGAAAGUUUUCAUUGUUACUUAGUCCAGGUUACUGAUCUUUUGUUUGUGAUUACUGAAUUUCAUGAUGUGCUCAGAAAGACUUUCCACCCAAGAUUUAAAAAUAUUUAUCCAUUUCUUUCCUAGCUCUCAUGCAAUUUUAGCCGUACUUUAAAACAUUUGUUGCAUUUGGAAUGUAUUUGGUGUAAUGAAUGAAACAAGAACCCGCAUUGUAUUUAAAACAUUUCACACCAAUCUGUAUUUUUUCUUAAUACCAUUCAUCAUAAUUAUAAUAGCACAAUUAUUUAUAUGAUUAUCUUUACCCAAUCACCAUUGAGAUGCCACCUUUGUAUCAUGCAUUUAAAUAUUUUUUAAAAUGCUCCAGGGUGGGGCGCGGUGGCUCACGCCUUUAAUCCCAGCACUUUGGGAGGCCGAGGCUGACGGAUCACGAUGUGAGGAGAUUGAGACCAUCCUGGCUAACACAGUGAAACCCCGUCUGUACUAAAAAUACAAAAAAUUAGCUGGAUGUGGUGGCGGGCACCUGUAGUCCCAGCUACUCAGGAGGCUGAGGCAGGAGAGUGCCAUGAACCCAGGAGGCAGAGCUUGCAGUGAUCAUGCCACUGCACUCCAGCCUGGGCAACAGAGUAAGACCGUGUCUCAAAAGAAAAAAAAAAAGCUCCCUUCCACAUUAUCAUGUUAGAAUUUUGACCAAAAUGAUGAUGAUUUCCCAGAUUAUUUUGGAAGAAUUUAUAUUUUAUACCAUACUAAAUAUUUCUGUUCCCUCACAGGGUAUGCCUUUUCACUUAAUCACAUUUUUUUUCUGUUUUUUUUCCAUAUAAUUCAAAUUUAUUUGUAUGUAUUUUAUACUUUCACAAAUGGAUUUAUUUUAGAUUAUGUUUUAAUGCAUUAUAAGAUGUUUGAUUUUUGAAUAUUAACAUUAUAUCCUGAAAACUUUCUGAGCUCUCUUUUACUCUUUUACUUUUUAAUAGUUUUCAGCUGAAUCUCUUAGACUUUCUAUUAUCUACAAAUGAUGAUAAUUUUGUCUUCUUCAUUCUAAUUUUUAAAUUUCUUAUUUUGUUCUCUUGUCUAUUUGCAAUGUCCAUCACAUAAUCUUAUGUAGAUUAUAAGAUGAAAAUCACUAAGCAUGAUAUCAACUUUUGGUUUAAGAGAUGUUUUGAUGUAAAGAAAUAUUCACCGAAUCCCAUUUUACAAAGAGCAUUUAUCAGGUAUGGACACGAAGUUUUAUGAAACGUUUUGUUGAUACCUACCAUAGGAUCAUAUACUUUUAUCUUCCUUUCAUCAGUAUUAAUAGAUUUCCUAAUAUUUAGCCACCUAUGCAUUCUUGGAAUAAAAGUUGCAGUCAUGGUGUAUUGCUCUUUAACCAAAUCUGCUCCUAGAUUAUAUUUGCUGAUACUUUAUUAAGAAUUUUUAAAAAUCAAUUUUGAGAUAUUUCUAGCUUUCUCCUGUGUAUUAUCUAUAUAAAACAGUCUUACAUUGGUUUUUGUUAAUUGGCAAGAAUUUCUUCUUUCUCUGCCCUAGAACAGUUUAGUAUAGAAAUUAUUUAUCCCCUGGAAACCAUCAUUCUCAGCAAACUAACACAGGAACAGAAAAUCAAACACCUCAUGUUCUCACUCAGAAGUGGGAGUUGAACAACGAGAACACAUGGACACAGGGAGGGAAACAUCACACACUGGGGCCUGUUGGGGGGAUGGGGGCAAAAGGAGGGAGAGCAUUAGGACAAAUAACUAAUGUAUGCGGGGAUUAAAACCUAGAUGAUGGGUUGAUGGGUGCAGCAAGCCACCAUGGCACACGUAUACCUAUGUAACAAACCUGCACGUUCUGCACGUGUAUCUCAGAACUUAAAGUAUUAUAAUUAUAAUAAUAAUAAAAGAAAUUAUUUAUCUUUUUU
rnacentral:lncRNA from 1 species